rnacentral:rRNA from 1 species
GACGAACGCUGGCGGCGUGCUUAACACAUGCAAGUCGAGCGAGAAAGCUCCUUCGGGAGUGAGUACAGCGGCGAACGGGUGAGUAACACGUGGGCAACCUGCCCUAGGGAGCGGGACAACCCGAGGAAACUCGGGCUAAUACCGCAUGAUUCGUCGUGCCUCAAGGCGCGACGGGAAAUGGUAGCUUCGGCCUCCGCCCUGGGAUGGGCCCGCGCCGCAUUAGCUUGUUGGUGAGGAACGGCUCACCAAGGCAACGAUGCGUAGCUGGUCUGAGAGGACGAUCGGCCACACUGGGACUGAGACACGGCCCAGACUCCUACGGGAGGCGGCAGUGGGGAAUCUUGCGCAAUGGGCGGAAGCCUGACGCAGCAACGCCGCGUGAGGGAAGACGGCCUGUGU